rnacentral:rRNA from 1 species
UCGAUGUGUCAUUGGGGAUAACGUAAGGGAAAAUAAUGAUAUUACCUUACUAUUAGUGUCGUCCAAGUACUCGUGCCAGAAGACUCGGUAAGGCGAGAGACGCAAACGUUAGUCGUCUUGAUCAGGCGUAAAGGGUUUGUAGGCGGCUUUAAGUAUCUAAUUUUUAGUUUACUAUUUUAAUAUAAGCCUUCAUUUCUGUCCUACAUAGUUAGGACGGGGGAGAGCAUAAAUUUUAUUUUCUUUUCAAAAAAAAAAAUUAUAAUUUAAUAUUAAAAAAAUAAAGAAAGGAUCAAUUAAAGCUAGAAUCUAAAAGAGGUUAAAACAAUACUUCAGAAAGGAGUGCUAACCGUAGAUAAGGAGCAGAGUGUUAAGGGCGAAGGCAUUUAUCCAAUAAAGAUUGACGCUGAGAAACGAAGGUGAGGACAGAAAAAAGGAUUAGAGACCCUUGUAUCCCUCACUGUCAACGAUGAAUGGUAGUUACUAGUAAGAAAUAAGCUAGAGACGAUGUUAACACGAAAACCAUUCCGCCUUGUGAGUACGACUGCAAAGUUGAAAACAAAAAAAUUAGUCGGUUUCGGAGCAAACGAAGUGAAGCA